AGACGGGGCCCGCACAAGCGGUGGAGUAUGUGGUUUAAUUCGACGCAACGCGCAGAACCUUACCUAGACUUGACAUCCCGGGGAUUUUCUGGAAACAGAGAAGUGCUUUAGCAAUAAAGAACCCGGUGACAGGUGCUGCAUGGCUGUCGUCAGCUCGUGCCGUGAGAUGUUGGGUUAAGUCCCGCAACGAGCGCAACCCUCGCCUUUAGUUGCCAGCAUUCAGUUGGGCACUCUAGAGGGACUGCCGGUGUCAAACCGGAGGAAGGUGGGAUGACGUCAAGUCCUCAUGGCCUUUAUGUCUAGGGCUACACACGUACUACAAUGGCCGGUACAAAGGGCAGCCACUCAGCGAUGAGGCGCUAAUCCCAUAAAGCCGGUCUCAGUCCGGAUCGCAGUCUGCAACUCGACUGCGUGAAGUUGGAAUCGCUAGUAAUCGUAGAUCAGCAUGCUACGGUGAAUACGUUCCCGGGCCUU
rnacentral:rRNA from 1 species